rnacentral:lncRNA from 1 species
GAAGAAGGUGUGUAUUGAUGAUCUCGAUGGAAUUUAUUUUUUAUUGUGAUCUUAAACUUGUUCAUUUAGUGAAGAGUUUAUUGAUUAUGUGUUGAGUAAUGUUUCAUUUUAAAUGAUUUGUUAGGUAGUUAGGGAUGGUGAAAACUAACGAUUGGCGAUGAAUUACGUCUUUCGGGAUUUUAAACUUGGUUAAUCGUGUGAGGUGUAAAAUAUAGAUUAACAUGUUAAAUGGAUUUCUUUUUACACGUAACACAACAUUGCCAUUUAAUUCUAUGACUAAUUUUAAAAUGUUAAUUUUACAUGUAUAAUAAAUAAUCAAGAGGCUCAAGGAUGUCAACUGAAAUUGUGAGGUGAGAGGGGUGAUAUCGGAUUUCUUUAACCUAUGUCCUGAUGUAAAGACUCAUACAAAGGCUCCAGCAGAGGCGAUUGAAAAUCUUCUCACACCACUUGGACUGCAGAAAGUAAAGACGGAAAGGAUACAAAGAUUAUCUGAAGGAUAUUUAUGGGAUGACUGGACAUACAUCACUCAACUCCAUGGCGUUGGGAAAUGCCUAUGCAAUAUUUGUUAGAGGGUAGUGGAGGCGCAUAAUACCCGCAGAUCAUAUGCUAGACAGGUACCAGAAAAUUCGCAGACGGUGUUGAGUUCGUGAAAAGCCCCCUAAACUGAUCAGCAAACCAGAAAAGCUGCAGUUAUAAAAGUAAAGCCAAAAAUUUAAAUCAAAAUAUCACAACCAAGUCAUUCAAGAGCUAAAAAUGAUGCAAGUAUUUGGUAUUUGUUUAGGGCCUCUUUAGCAUGAACCAAUAGCAAAUUAGAGUAAGAACAGUUAUAAGGCAUGAAUGCAAUUGCUGCAACAGUUUCACCAGAAAGGUUUGAACCCGGUUGCUCAGUAUUCAUUUUAUAAUCGGUUCGUGGCAUUGUAAUGUCUUAAGUGCGCAGCGCGCUCCCAACAGAAGAAAAUUAAUAGUUAUGUGAAUAUGACCUUUGUGUAUCAAGCCCGUAUAAAUAAUCUGAGAUUUAGCUUAGUAAUUUGAUUGUUUUGUGACAAUAUUCAUUAAGGUUAGGCUGGGUUGAGGUUCUUUUUGCACCUGUGCUAUUGUAAAAGGGUUUUCUUUUUUGACAUUUUCAAGGCCUUGAGUUGUUUGCUUUGUAUCUUGUUCUCCAGUG